GGAUGCGUAGCUCAAUGGUAGAGCGCCAAGCUUAUACCUUGGUGGUUCCAGGUUCGAGUCCUGGCGCAUCCA
rnacentral:tRNA from 1 species